rnacentral:rRNA from 1 species
UACGGAGGGGGCUAGCGUUGUUCGGAAUUACUGGGCGUAAAGCGCACGUAGGCGGCUUUGUAAGUUAGAGGUGAAAGCCCGGGGCUCAACUCCGGAAUUGCCUUUAAGACUGCAUCGCUAGAAUUGUGGAGAGGUAAGUGGAAUUCCCGAGUGUAGAGGUGAAAUUCGUAGAUAUUCGGAAAGGAACACCAGUGGCGGAAGGCGACUUACUGGACACAUAUUGACGCUGAGGUGGCGAAAGCG